rnacentral:tRNA from 1 species
GCCGGGAUGCCCGAGUGGACUAAGGGGUCGUUCUAUGCCUAAGCCUUGAGUCGGCGGCGGGUGAGCCGAUGGGGCUCUGCUCCGCGUGGGUUCGAAUCCCACUCCCGGCGCCA